ensembl:lncRNA
CCGUAAUACUUGGAGUAUUGGCAUCCUCUUGUGUGACUAAGGGGCCAGCAGGGGCCUUGAACCACGAGCGUGUGCUCUGCACAGCAAUUUGGAGUCACAAGUUCCUGACAUGACUGCUGAUAAAGUCUCUCCUGCCUCCUAGCUUUCUCCACUUGUGCCCAAGAGCCCCUGGAGCUUACUUAAACCUUGCUGUUUAUGGUUUGAAUGAACUGUGCCUUAGCCCAGGGCCUGCAAAGCACUGCGCCUGUGGACCCUAAUAAUGGCACGCGCCCCCGGUCCUCUGCAGCUGGCGCUCUGCCUGCUCCCGCCUCAGCCGCUCUGCGUGGCCCCCGGAGGCUGCCAUGGACCUCCGCCAGGACCUCCUCCAGCUGACUCUAGGAUGGAUGCUUCAAAGAAACAUCUCUGAGGAACCUCAGAGAUGAAUGGCCCUUCCAUUGGUUCUCUGCAACCUCGGAU